GCUCAGCUUCUGUAGGGAGGCAGGUGGGGAGGGGAGUGUAGUUAAUGAGGAAACUGACAUUGCUUGAAAGGGAAUGAAACCACUUGGUAACAUGUCCUUUGAACAUGUUUUACUUUUUACCUCUUAUAAUGGAAAUCAAGCAUUACUAACUUAUGGCAGGGCCCUUCUGAACAGUAUUUGAUAAUAAAAGGGAGCCUCAAGGUAUUGCCUAUUUUAAUCCUCUUGAGAUCAACCUAGAAGCCUUACCAAAUUAAUGAUAAUCACAGUCUGUGUGAGAUUGUAACUACAAGGGAGGAAGAGCAGAGGGAGAAAGGAGGAGAGCUUGCUGCCAGAUUGGGCAAGAAGAGGUCUGACUGGAUGUGAGUAAUGAAAAUGCAAAGGCUGGACACAUCUGCAUGGCUGACUCUGAACACAGCCCCAGGUGGUUCUCUCUCCCUCCCUCCUUUUGACUUUUUCCUUUGGAGACUUUUAUGAAGGAGAAGAUGCCACUGUACUUAGGAAGAGAAGGGGCUUUUCAGACAUUUCUGCAGCUCCACACUGCCAUUAGCAAGGAGCCGUGAACUGCCAACCCAACAAAGGCCAAUUUCUUCUCAGCUUAGAAGCAAAAAUGCUUAAGAGCUUCUCCCUCUACUUUUCACUGUCUUUACAAAUAAUUUUUUCCCAAUGGCUGAAAUACAUUUCUAUUACAACUGUACAAGACAUUAAGUGAACUACUUUCUAUGUAAGCAAGAAACGAAAAGUACAUCAAGCAGGGAC